rnacentral:rRNA from 1 species
UACGGGGGGGAGCAAGCGUUGUUCGGAAUUACUGGGCGUAAAGGGCGCGUAGGCGGUGUGUCAAGUCAGGCGUGAAAGCCCCGGGCUCAACCUGGGAACCGCGCUUGAGACUGGCACGCUAGAGUUCGGGAGAGGAUGGUGGAAUUCCCAGUGUAGAGGUGAAAUUCGUAGAUAUUGGGGAAGAACACCGAUGGCGAAGGCAGCCAUCUGGACCGACACUGACGCUGAGGCGCGAAAG